UGGGGAAUUUUGCACAAUGGACGAAAGUCUGAUGCAGCAACGCCGCGUGGAGGAUGAAGGUCUUCGGAUUGUAAACUUCUGUUAAUUAAGAAGAAAUAAUAGAGAGUAAUAUGCUCUAUUGAUGACGUUAUUAGUUGAGAAAGCCCCGGCUAACUUCGUGCCAGCAGCCGCGGUAAUACGAAGGGGGCAAGCGUUAUUCGGAAUGAUUGGGUGUAAAGGGCGUGUAGGCGGCGCAAUAAGUUUUUUGUUUAAUUCUCCGGCCUAACUGGAGGUGUGCAAGGAAUACUGUUGUGCUAGAGUAUGAUAGAGGAAAGUGGAACUCUCGGAGUAGCGGUUAAAUGCGUAGAUCUCGAGAAGAACGCCAAUGGUGAAGACAGCUUUCUGGGUCAUUACUGACGCUGAGACGCGAAGGCGUGGGGAGCAAACAGG
rnacentral:rRNA from 1 species